rnacentral:SRP_RNA from 1 species
GCCGGGCGCAGUGGCUCACGCCUGUAAUCCCAGCACUUUGGGAGGCCGAGACGGGUGGAUCACCUGAGGUCAGGAGUUCGAGAGCAGCCUGGCCAACAUGGUGAAACCCCGUCUCUA